CUUUGAGAUGAGAGCUCUUGGAAUGUUUAAAGAAAAGCACUAGGACUACAACCAGUUGGAAAGAAGACAGGAAAGAGUUAAAUAAAUAUAGCUGUUGUAAAUCAUUAAAGCUUAUUGCAGGAUUUUGGCUUUCAUUUGAAAGAUUUAGAGGAAUGAAAUGAAAGGCAUCUGCCUGCUGUGUUCAAAAUACAAUACAGGGUCAAGGAUACAGGAGGUAAGAAUGAAAGCAAUAUUACGGUAAGAAAUGUUGUUGUUUGGACCAGAGCAGUAGGAGAAGGAAAGAGUUUGAAUCUGGAAAGAGUUUGAAGUUAGAGUCAGCAUAAUGUCUUGACAAGCUGUAAAGGGAUCUGAGAAAGUGGAAUUGAGCUGCCAUUCAACUGAGAUGGAAAAGGUCGUGAGUGAAGUAGUUUGGAGGAGAAGCAUAAAGAAUGAACUUUAAUCACUAAAACUUGGCUCAGCUCUCUAAAGCCCGCCGUUCUCAACUCCUCCCAGGAGAAAACACGUGAGCGAACAAG
rnacentral:lncRNA from 1 species